rnacentral:rRNA from 1 species
GUGCCAGCAGCCGCGGUAAUACGAAGGGGGCUAGCGUUGUUCGGAAUUACUGGGCGUAAAGCGCAUGCAGGUGGAUCGCUAAGUCAGGGGUGAAAGCCCGAGGCUCAACCUCGGAACUGCCUUUGAUACUGGCGAUCUUGAGUCCGGGAGAGGUGAGUGGAACUCCGAGUGUAGAGGUGAAAUUCGUAGAUAUUCGGAAGAACACCAGUGGCGAAGGCGGCUCACUGGCCCGGUACUGACACUGAGAUGCGAAAGCGUGGGGAGCAAACAGGAUUAGAUACCCCCGUAGUCC